UACGGAAGGCAGCAGUGGGGAAUAUUGCACAAUGGGCGCAAGCCUGAUGCAGCCAUGCCGCGUGUAUGAAGAAGGCCUUCGGGUUGUAAAGUACUUUCAGUCGUGAGGAAGGUGUUAAGGUUAAUAACCUUAGCAAUUGACGUUAGCGACAGAAGAAGCACCGGCUAACUCCGUGCCAGCAGCCGCGGUAAUACGGAGGGUGCGAGCGUUAAUCGGAAUUACUGGGCGUAAAGGGCACGCAGGCGGUUAAUUAAGUUGGAUGUGAAAUCCCCGGGCUUAACCUGGGAAUGGCAUUCAAGACUGGUUAGCUAGAGUCUUGUAGAGGGGGUAGAACUCCAUGUGUAGCGGUGAAAUGCGUAGAGAUGUGGAGGAAUACCGGUGGCGAAGGCGGCCCCUGGACAAAGACUGACGCUCAUGUGCGAAAGCGUGGGGAGCAAAC
rnacentral:rRNA from 1 species